rnacentral:rRNA from 1 species
AGUGAACGCUGGCGGUAGGCCUAAUACAUGCAAGUCGAACGGCCGCACAGUAAGAGCUUGCUCUUACGGGUGGCGAGUGGCGGACGGGUGAGGAAUACAUCGGAAUCUACUUUUUCGUGGGGGAUAACGUAGGGAAACUUACGCUAAUACCGCAUACGACCUACGGGUGAAAUCAGGGGAUCUUCGGACCUUGCGCGAUUGAAUGAGCUGAUGUCGGAUUAGCUAGUUGGCGGGGUAAAGGCCCACCAAGGCGACGAUCCGUAGCUGGUCUGAGAGGAUGAUCAGCCACACUGGAACUGAGACACGGUCCAGACUCCUACGGGAGGCAGCAGUGGGGAAUAUUGGACAAUGGGCGCAAGCCUGAUCCAGCCAUACCGCGUGGGUGAAGAAGGCCUUCGGGUUGUAAAGCCCUUUUGUUGGGAAAGAAAAGCAGCAGGUUAAUACCCCGCUGUUCUGACGGUACCCAAAGAGUAAGCACCGGCUAACUUCGUG